UUUUCUUGCUGUGGUAGACUGCUGCCAGGUUAGCUCUGAAUGGCUUAUUGUGGGGUCCAGUGAGCGCUCGGGCUAGAGCAAGGGAUGGAGUGGGAACUUCUCAUUUUGGCAGCAGCUGGUGAUUAGGUUGGUUCUACUGUUUUGUGAAACAACACCUGUAAGUUUGACCUGGUGGUUAACUGUCCAGAAAGCUGUGAUCAUUGAAGGCAUCCCUUGCCCCAAGCUGAGUGUUACCCUGUGCUGGGCAUGGCUGCUCCUGUUGUUGGCCACUGCAGGCAGCGGCUUGGGGACGGGGUGAGGAUGUGCUUGACUGGCGUCUGCUAAUGUGGGGACAGGCCGCCGUGAGUCCUGGGAGCAGGAGCUGCUCACUUGUGGGCACUGAUGACUGUGGGGCAGUAAUGUUUGCAACCCUUUCAGCUACGAUUGGAGGAGAGCUUCAUUCUACACCUGACCUUGUGAUGGGUUUUCUAAAAUCUUUCUAGGUAAUUCUAGAAUUAGUAGAGUGCCUUUGAUAGAAGUGUGAUUUAGGUGACCCUGUUUGCAUGUUUACCUUAAAAUGAGAUGAAAUAAGCAUCUCUUUGUCUUGCAUGACUACAAAGAAGUCUAGACUCAGGUUUGGAGAGCUACGCUGAGGUAGAUGAGGCAUGCUGAAGGAGGCUGAAGACCUCAGUGCACUUUUCUGGGAAGUAGAGAAAGGAAUCCACUUAAAGAGAAACACAAGAAUGGUCGACCGAGAUCAUUGGCAGUGAAUAGUUGAAUUCCAAGAGAAAAGCAGGGGGGUUACAAGUUCCAGCCGGUCUAUCUAGAUCCUCAAACUGGUGUCAAAAUACUGAAUUCAGAUUGUAUAUUAGAAGGUCAGCAUCACUUUGGAAAACAAAUCUUGAUUUUUUUCUAUGUGAAGUUUAAAGGCCUCCACACUGUAUGUUUGAGGACCUAUUUUUACUGCUUACUGUUAAGAGUGGCACUAAAGAUUACUAAAACUGGAAGUUAGAUGAACCAGGCCCUCUUUCUCAUUUUCUAUUUAGUUCAGUUGUUAUUGCUCUUGGUAACCCUUCAUAUAUAUAUUCCGUUUUAGUGGUUUUUUAUGCUUGAUUGUGCUUCCUGUCUCAUAUACUAGCAUAAUGAUGUCAUCCUUGUCCACUGCUGCGGGGAAAACAUGAUUGUAUGCCCGUACCGACCCUCUGCAAGAAAGGCUCUAUCUCUUUCCUGUUGGAAGACUUGGCUUCUGCUUUUUGAAGGCUGCAGGGAGGCUUCCUUUUUCCAGCCUGCUCUGCACCUCAGUAAGGAGCAGAGCAAGAGGAGCAGGUGGCAGCAGCAGGUUCUUCCACCAUGCCAUCUACUUAAUCAGCUCUUCACCUGGAGCCUGUGUAACGCCUGCCUCUUGCUUUGUAGCCUCAUAUGGAGCUGCAGAAGGGAAGGAAUGGGUAGGCAAGACACCCACCCCUCCCUCAAGCAAAUGAAACACAGCUGCAUCUUGCAUGCUUGAAGCUGCAUCAGGAGCUUCAAGUGCAUCCCUGCUGGCAGGCAGUGCUGAGAGCUGCUGGAAGGUGCUGAGAAAAGCCCGGCUUCCUAUUGCUCCUUCUGUGGCCUGGGAGAGCAGCAGGCCCCACCAGAGGGGCACAGGGUUCUCUGUUCCUGUGAUCCUUUUGCCCGUUGCGAGGAUGGGAUCUGUCCUCGCUUAGGAGCCCUGCUGCGAGAGGGGGAGGAGUGCGCCUGCCAGGAGGGGAGCAGGCAGGCCCCAGCGCCUCUGAGAGAGUACGCUUGGGCCUGCUGCUCUUCCUGCGUUGUAAAAAUGCACGGGUUACAACGGCACAGGCUGCACUGUGUAAGUAGCCGUUGUCUGGAAAGUUUCAAGUGAUAGAAACCAAUGUGUUAAAAUGAACUUAGAAAAAUUUUAGGAAGACUAUGUCCCCUUAAAUCUGUCUAGAAGGGGCUUUUCCAGCAUGAGUCAUCUGCAGCUGUAGAGGAGCCCUUGGCGGCAGUGUUUGCCAAGCUUGCCUUCCUCCCCUGUGCUGAAUAGAGCUGUCAGGCUUCCCAGAGGCAGGGGAGGGAGAAAAAUACCCCAAUUCACUUCUGAACUAGAUACGCAUGGGAGAAUUCCCUAGAGUGCCACUGGUGUGCUUUUCGUUGGCGAUUUUUUAAAUCGCUUGGCUCUACAUAAGCAAUGUUGUGCGGCUUCAGUCUAAAACACCCCAAAGCCCAUCCCCAGGAAACGCACAAUGGUGUUGAUCUGCCUGUUGCUGCAGAGGAAGUGGCUUCUGUUAUAAAGCAACAAGCAAUCUGCCAGAGUUCAUAGUUUGGGCAGUUGCCAGGCUAAAUUUAACUUAAAGAUAUUUAACCUUUUUGGCUUUUGUCCUUACAUUUUCUGAAGACAUUUCUGUCUCUUCCUACUAUUUAAGUCUUGCAAAUGGCAGUUCUUUCAUAUAAUUUAAUACUGGCUUUCAUUUAGGAAAGGCAGAAUUAUUGACAGAAUCAGGUCUUUGGGACAGUGAAAAUAUUCCCUGAUGAUCUCGGUACGUUAGCAGAUCUGAGGGAAGCCAUAAGCAACUGUGGUGUUACUCUUGGCUUUCUUAUGCCCUUUCCCUCCCCAGCAAUCAGUUUUUGAUCUGAAUUUGAUGUUGAAAAUACGACAUACUAUUGCAGAAGAGACAGUAUAUGAAAAUCAGACUUUUGAUAUUUGGGACAUCAGGCGCCCUCUUGUGUUGAUUCUUCUCGAGUAUUGAGAUACAAACCACUUUUGAGGAGUGCAUACUGUGCAUGUACAAUACAGCAGUGUUUCAGACUCAGUUUUAUUUUGCAGAGACACGGGUGUAUACUUGAGUAAUGGCAUCAUGGUCAAAUGUAAUUCUAAUGUGUAGGAGUUCCUUCUUCACAAAUGCAGAGUUCCCUCCAACUACACAAUAUACAUAGAAUGAAGUUUUGAACUUGCAAAUGUGACUUUCACCUUAUUUGUCUCUUUGGAAGGCUUUAGAUUUACUCAAAAGUAGCAAUGUUUGCAAACUAUUAAAUUUCUGUGGGCAAAACUUUAAGUCGAGUCAAAAUACACUGAUACGACUGUGAUGCAAGUCUGGAUUUCUCUUUGAUCUAGACUGUGCUAUAUGUUUUUAAUUGUUCACCCCCUUGUGCUGCACAAUAUCAGGAAAAUGUGCUGCAUCUUCCCAGAAAUCACACUCUUGGAGGCAGACAGUAAAUACACUUUUUCAGAUUGCCCACAGUAAAUGCCUGAAAAUACCUCAUUUCUCCAAUUGCCAGACUGUGAGGCGCAAAAGAGGUAAGGUAACUUAGAAAGCUGACUAAAUAGCCAGUUACAACACCCCUGAAAACAUGGGCCCCUCAGUGAUUUGCCACCUAAAGCAAAACACUUUGCUGAUAUUUAUAUGUACCUACUGCUAGUAGUAGAAGCUUGAAGUUGUUCUAAGGACAUAAAUAUUGUAGUAUUUUCUGGCAUGAUGCAAACUCUCAACUUACUGGUAUCUGAGAUGCAAAAAACCAUGAACUCUUCCUCUUGCCAGCAUUUUUCUGUCUUUCUGUCUCUUCAGGGAUUAAGUGCUGAUUAUUUCAGGCUUUUUCUAUACUGGACUACCUGACAUUUUGUGGUGGCAUUUCUAGUGGGUUCUGGCAGUGUAACUUUCACCUGAAAGCUUCUGAGAAUUAAAAUCAUUUCAAAUCAUGGUAAUUAGAAUAUGAAGCAAGAAUGGCUAUGUUGAGGAUUUGUCUAGCUCAGUGUCCUGUCUCCAGCAGAUACCACAAGCAGAUGCCUUGAGAAAUGUCCAAGAACAAGGCAAGUAUAAAUGAUAGGUUCUUUAUUGCUUUCCCAGCCUCCAACCUUUUGCUCUUUUGAGGUCUCCUGAGCUGUUUGUGGGUUUUGUGUUUAGUAAGCCUUGACAGAUUUCAUUUCCAGGAUUGUCUAGUCUUCCACUGACACCAAUACAAACUUCUAGAAUUGACUCCUUUGGAAAGGAGUGCGGUCAAUCGACUGUGCCAUGUGUGAAGAAUGAGUUUUUUUUAAUCUUUCCUAUGAGCUUUAUUUUGGAAGAAAGAUGAACAAUUGCCGUCCAUGACACUCAUGAUUUUAUAAUGCUCUACUAUGUUUCUUUCAGUUGUCUCUCUUUCAGACUGGUGAGUCUUGUCUUAAUUGUUCUGAAUAUAUGAACUGUUCCAUACCUUUGAUCCAAAAAUUACUGCCUUUUUUAUUUGAUUUUUUGAUUUCUGUGAGCACUGAGUUGAUAGUGGGUUUUUUCUGUUAUAACCUCAUAUCUCGCUUCUGAAUGGUAAUGGUCAGCUAAGAGUACAUACAUGAGCUUGUAUGUGUGUAGUUAGAAUGUUUUUUUUCCCUUGGGUAUCACGUUACCCUUGUCAACAUUCAAUUCCAUUUGCCGUUUUCUUGCCCAUUCGCUACUUCUUGUGCAGUCUGUCUGUACUUCUUCACAGCUACCCUCAUCCUCACUACCCUGAAUAACAAUAUCAUCAGUAAAUCAUGUCCCAUUCUUGUUUGCUGCCUUUUCGCCAUACACUGAACCAGACAGCUCUACCACGAAUCCCUGUGGAACUGCAGUGAUGAACUCUGUCCGCUGUGAAAGCUUGACCCUCCUGUCUUUGUUUUUCAGUCUUUCACCAAUUAUUUACCCCUGCCAGGGACCUUCCCUCUUAAGGAAACCAAGGAGCCGUGGUUUAAAAGCCUUGCUGAGGAUGGUUGUUGAAAACCUUUUGGAAAGGGCAUUUCAGUCAAACCAUCAUCCAUGUGGCUGUUGAGCCCUUCAGAGAAGCCUGAUAGGUUCUUGAGGCAGGUUUUCUAUUUACAAAAGCCCUGUUGAUCCUUCCAGAGUUAUUUACCUGCAUAAUUCUGUUCUUUUUAUACUUUAUGCUACUUGCUGGUGGCAGAAUUGUACAGAAUUAUGGCUCUGCUAGCGGCGGUAUGACUUUGGGAGUGUGACUUUAUUUUUUGUGCUUUAAUUUUCUUCUCUGUAGAAUUGUUACAAGAAUACUGCAGCACUAUGUGGUGUUUCUGUAGAAGACAAGUAAUGUCUAUGGGAGAUUUUCAAACAGUCAAAACCAGAAUGCUGCAGAAGUGCAUAGAAUUAAUAUUGUGUGUACAAGUUAUUUUUCUUUUAAAACAAAUCUAAUAGUUAUUAGUCACAACAACAGAGCAGGUACAAUAAAAAGGAUCAAAUUAUGGUUUUAUACAUAUUUUGAAGUUACUAAGUUAUUUGCGCAUACAUGAGGGCAUGCUUGAGUUCGACCCAGUAAAGACUAGAAUUUUCUUGAGGCCACAGGUAGGAUUUUUCUGGGUCUCAGCUGGAGCCUUUGACACCGCUGCUGCUCAAGUGUGGGGAGGAAGGGAUGAAAGGGCUGGUUCCAGCAGAGCCCUUCCAAGCCUUGGAAGUACUCUGCUCUAGGGGCUCUCUAUCAUGUACUUCUUAGCUACGUUGUUCACCGUGAGGGACCAUUUCAUGAUUGUAUCUAAUGCUUCAUGAUGAAUAACCCAGACAGGCAUUGGGGAACCUGCAGAGUAUUAGAGGAUGAUAUAAGAGGUGCUUUUCCUUUUACCAGUGAAGUCUCAUCUCCUGCUUUUCCCUUUCAUGAAGAGGAUGGAGAACGGCUCCAGGCAGAGAUGAAGAAAGAAAGAGUUUGUCUGUAGUAGUUAGAUCUCUUGCAAAGUACAGAGUGAAGCUCUUCAAAAGACGGCACAGCUUUAUUUGUAUGGUUUACAUAGCUGAAAUAGGUGAUGUAAAUGAAUUCAGAGAGAAAUCUCCAAAGCAAAAUCAGUCGUUCGCAAGUACAGGAUGUUGUCGUUAACGAUUUGAACAAAGUGUGUGGUCGUCCUCAUUCUUUCCUUAAAUCUGCCUACUUUAAAAUAACAACAAAGGGCUCCUUGUGGCUGCACAGCUCAAGCUUGGUGUUUGAAAACCUGGCAGUGCCAGGUCUGAUGCAGCUGCUGGUAAAAGGGCAUUUGCAUGUUUACCUAAAUUAUCAAAGAAAGCAAAAUACAAGAAGGGGCGGGAGGGAGACCUCAAACAAAUCCAGCAACUUGGGAGUAAAUUAUCUUCUUCAGGUUACCACGCAGCUGAAUUACUCCUCAAUGAAUAAUGCAGUAACAGUUUCUAGAAGACUGGCAGUUUUAUUGUAAUGUUUUGACAAAACAAAUGCAUGUAGUAUAUUAACAUAUGCCAGUUAGGUGUGUGGAUUGAAAUGUGUGCGCUGAGUAUGCGUAAGAACUGACAGUGCUGAGGUGCAAGGGCAACGCAUACUUUGUUAACCACUGAAGGCUGAAUCCACACUGACACUUCACAUCCCACCCGCCAGCUGUUCCGCAGUAAGUGUGUGCGUGCAUGCUUUUCCCUAUAAUCCCCAAUAGUAAGCAUGAGGUAAUUAAGAAGUAACAUAUUUCCAUUUAAGGGAAGAAAGGAGGGGCAGGUAAGAGCAUGUGCUUAGAUAAUCCCUGUGUAGCUGCUAGCUUGUGCAUCAGUCCUUACUGUCAGCAUUACAGCAGUUAACUCUUGCCUUUUAAAAAUAAGAAUUGUUUAAAUCUAUAUAAAAUAUUUUCCUAGGCAUGUCCAAGAGCCCACGCUGAGCUCCAGCUGUUGCCACAUUCUGCUAUGGCAUGCAAGUUUGUCUUUCCAAAUGACUAUGAGUAGAGUUCAAAUGAAUCUAUCAGUAAUCAGUGGAAAGGGUGUCAUAACAUGAAAUCUGAUGCUGUUAAAAGAUCCUUGAAAACAUGUUUGGAAAGGAACUGGCUUGUUCUUAACAUGGCUGCAGGUCUGGCAGCAGGAGCUCAUGAAGAGAUGUGGGAAUUAGCUGGGAAUUAGACUCCCUGCCAGCAAGAAGAGCUAGGAAGCCACAUGCUUCGGAUAUAAAUUGACUUCUCAUUUUUAAAUCCCUUUGGGUAAAUGGAGGCAGAUUAUUUUUCUCUGCUAAUGCAACACAUUGUGAGGCAAAGCCACAUUCAAGAAGGAAAAAAUAACCAUUUAAAGUCAAACCAAACAUAGUGUCAGGGAGUUUGAUUUUAGUUUUUUUAUUGCCUCUUAGAUUCAACACAAUAAAUAUGGCUAAGAAAAAAGAAUGGGAAGUGGAGAAAAUGAGAUCCUGAUGAAGAAACUUACAUUUUUAAUUAGUCAGUUCCCAAUUCUCUGAUUAGAAUCUUUGUAAUUAACUUAAACUAUUUACAAUGGAGUUCUUUGUAACACUUAAUGCAAUGCAAUGUAUUUUCACAUGAGUAUGUGUGGCAAGGUGCUGAAUCAAAGUUGUAGUCAGUUUAAAAAAAAAAAAACAAAAAAACAACAAAAAAUUUGCUCCAUUUGCUAGGGAAUGCCACAAGGCCUAUCAGGACUUCCAUAACGAUUAACAGGUACUUUUCCCCAAAUCUACUUUCUUUUAGCAUCAGUUAGAUAUUUUACAAUGCUAUCUAUAAUGGUGCCCUCUGGUGACUCCAAGAAGAUUUACACUAAAAUUAAAAAGAAAAAGGCAGAAUUUGGCCUGUUAAGUGGAAGUAUACUGGCCAGUAUUCGUUACAGAUUCAUGAUCAGAUUAAAGCUCCUAGGCCUCAGCUGGACAAUGUAUAUGAGAAACAUACACAGAAAGGUCUAUGAUUAACUCCAAGUGGUGUAGGAGCAGAACUGUCAUGAGUAAGAGAGUCUCUCAUGCUACCAUACAACCAAUUUCCUAUGCAUUUAUGAUAAAAAGAAACUUGACUUUUGACACUACAAACUAUCAUUUAUUUAUGUCUAGACAAAAGAAAAUUAAAAGAUACAACAACACAAUCUCUUAAUGAGUCUGGCUGGCUGGUGAGAGGUAGUGUGAAAUACCUUAACUGAUUAUAUGAAAUUGCAGAAAUGAACUAGCUGUGCAAAAGUCUCUUGCAUAUUCUGCUGUUUGUGUCACUUGCAGGCAGCGUCUGGAAAGCUGCUCUCUUCAAUGCACUACUUUAUCUCCUGGAUAUUGCUAUUUGUGUGUACGAGCUAUCUGCAGCAUCUAACUGAUGUCUGUGCGCUUACUGCCCAUCGUUCACCAUGCUGGCGUACAGGACCUCUUUCAGUGCACUGAGUGUAGGGCUCAUGUGGCCAUUAAUCUGUUUUGGUUGAAAAUGAAUCUUUUAUUUGUAGGGCUGUGUUGUUUUUCAGUGAGAUCUAUGGCCUUGUAAUCACUAGUGCAGACAUAAGGAAGCCAGUAAGUAUGUGUGGCUGGAGAUGGAAUAGUUGUGGGCAGGACUGCCCCUUUCAGCAUCAGUUCCACUUUAAAUUGGCACUGUGAAGAUGUAUCCUAAUCAAUAGUGAGAGACAACACUGGUGAGGCGAUGAGGGUAUCUCACUUUGAAGCUUUUAGCCCAACAGAAAAUCCAUUCCCAAGCAGAGCAGGCAAGAUAAUGGAUGGGGAGUAAAAGAAAAAGAAAUGAAUAAAACUGUUAACAAGUUUAUAUAGAGUAUGAAUAAUUAUCUAAUAAUUCAGUCAUUUAUUGAACUUCCAAAUUAGGCCUAUACUUCCAAUACCAAAUGUAUCAGGCUAAAAAAACCUCCUCUGCUUAUUAAUAUUAUUCCCCUAUGCCAUGUUUGAGAGAACGCAUCUCCUCCCAUUCAUGUGCUUUGCAAAACAGCCCCUUAGGCAGGUUUUGCUUUUAUGCAUAUAUUCCCUAAGAAAAAGGAGUAAACAAAAUAUUUUUUUUGACCAGAUGCCUACUUUGAUCAUAGGUUUUAAGGUUAGGAGACACUAGUAUGAUUUUAUUCCCACUUCCUGAAUAAUACAGUCUGUAGAAUCUUUUCCACUAAUUUCUUCAUUAAGACAAUUUCCUUUUGAACCAAAGGCUGUAUUUGGGGAAAACAGCCAGUCUUGAUUUUACAGGCCAUUUUGUAUGUGUAGAAGAGUAUCUAAGGCUUAGUAGUACAUCGGUGAAGGGUGGCUUUUUCUGCACCUGCCUUUGCAGCAUUUCAGUGCAUGUAUCUUGUGCUCACAGGGCUUUUCCCUGGGCUGAGCAGUUAGCCAGUUUCUUCUAGGAGGAGAAUAAAUCCACUGAUAAAUUCCUGUAUCUUUAGUGUGGCACUGUCUCUCUGAUCAUUGUAAGAACAUGGAGCAAUGAGCACUUUACAUAGUCACUGUGCCCAAUCUUGCAUUUCUAGCUAGGCUGAUGUGUCAGAGUUCUGCCCUUGCUGCUUCUCAUGGUUAUGCUUAUAGCUGCUUUCUUUCUGUCUGCUGGCCUUCUGAUUUUUUUUCCCCCCACAAAGAUGCAUGCAGCUGAACCUGUUGGUGUCCCAGCUCCUGCUGCCAUUGCAAAUCCUUGUCCCACCUCCUGUGCAGCGACUUCUGUGUCCAACCAGCUUCCCCCAUCAAGGAAGUUAAAAUUUUAAGCCGAAUGGAGGGUGGCUGCUGGUUUCAGAGCCUGGUGCCUGAUCGGCCUGUGACUGAUCAAAGAGGUGUUCAAUGUCUCAUGCUUCCUACCAUCUUGGCAGUCCGUGGAUUUAUUAAACAGCAGUGGAAGGAGCCAUGGUUUUCAAUAUGAUUGCAUGACUGAUCCAGAGAACACUGCCCAUCCAUGUAGGGCUUUUCAGCUGGAUGGGAAAUCUGUUAUGUAAUGUAAUACCAAAUUACAGGGAACGUGUAAGAGAGAACUGACGCGAUUAAGAUGCCCAUUAAAUGAUCUUUGCUUUCGUUUCUCUGUGAUAACUAAGUUCCUUUAAAGGGUUUGCUGCUGUGCUCACAGCAGAGUUAUGUCACUUUCUGUAGCACGUUCCACUGUGUCACUGAGCCCAGGAGUUUCUUCCACCAGUGAGAUGGCUGCUGCUACAGAUCAUCAGCCUGGGCAAGAGCAGCAGUAACUUAUUUUAGACUAGGACAUGAAAACACCCUGAUUAGCUGAAACUUCUGUGAAAAUCAGGUCAACAGAAUGUAAUUCUCCUUCUCUCUGUGUCCUGUUAUGGUAGAUCUAGGAACAGUUCACUUUGAAAAAAUACUGGCUACAAUAGAUGGGUUCUGGAAAUAAGGAGAACCAUGCAGAACUACAGAGAAAUUCCACAGCCCAAAUAGGUGGAGACCUAUCUCAUCUGUGAGAGGGAGUCUCCAGUCGGACAACAUCACCAACAUGUUGGGACCAAUGACUCGCCUCUGCAGUGGAGAAGAAUGUCCCCAUUAUUGCUUUUGGGGGAAGCACCUUCACUUGGAGGUUUCUCAUUCAGGAUUUAAUUAGCUCAUGAACGCUCAUCAGUCCACAGAGGCCCAGGUGGCACAGCUGCAGGCAAAUUUCCCUCAUGCUGAUGAGGAUGCAAAGCUGUAAGCAAGUCUAAUGAGACCUUUGAUGAAUUCUCCAGUAUAACUACACCAGUAAUUGGCAGGACGUAUUAAGUAAAUAAAGGUUAGUUGUUCUCUCAGUCCUGACUUAUUGCAGCAUAGGUUUGUAAUCGUCCUAUCUUAUCAGGAAUGAAAUGCAUGAGGUGUAGUAAAGGAGGUAGCGUUUGCUAUUCACUGGUGAUUUGUUGCAAAUAAAAGCUUUCAGAAAUAGCACAAGACAGGUCUGGCAACGGUCAACUGACCUGCAAGUCUCUUAAGAUUGAGGGAAUCCUUAGAAAAAGGAAGCAGAGUGUAACCGAAGUCAAAGCCUGGUAAUUCCCAUGAGCUUAGCUAGAACUUGAGCUAUAAGAAUAGAUUGCUACUGUGUGUGCAAAUGAGACCCCAAAUAUCUAAAUCUCCCUCAAACGCUGCAGGUUAAUACUGAAAUUCAUCUUCUGGGAAGAGACGUGCAUAUUUCCGACAGAAUAAUCUUAUGAGCCAUUUUUUGUCCUUGCAUUACAAGCUAUCGACCUUAUCAGUGGUACUGAUAACAAAGUCCACUUAUUAUCUAUAGACAAAUUACUUUCCAGCUCCUUAUUUCACAUAAGGGUAGUCUGGCCAGAAAAAUCGAUUGUUGCAGGGAGCGGCUCAGUUAUAUAGAUACUGGGGCUGAGUCCUUAAUUCUGUGAAGAAGUUUUGCCCAAUUCUGGCAGCGCAAACCAGUUCUAGACUUGGGCUUAAAUGGCUAGUGUUCCUAGAAGUACGCUGACGGUGUCUGGCAGAGGCACCGUCCCGGCUGCAGCCCCCUGCUAGAAUGGGCACAGCUGGCAAGUCUUGGGUUGGAGAAGUGGUCUGGGGCCAGAGCCUGAGGGAUGGCUUUCGUGCAGAACAGGAACAGCAAACUGUUGCUUAUUUGGAGUAUCGGCUUUAUUGGUUGUCAGCUUUUCAGUCUCCCGAACAAGAUAAAACACAUACAGAGUUUGUGGGUCCCUCUGCUGGCAUUUUGAACGCACAGUCCUGCAUGUGGGAGGAGCGGGGAGCAGAGUGAUUUAAGUGUCCUACUGUGAAGCCAGAUGUGUAAGUUUGUGUCCUAAUUUGUUAUGAGCCCCCGACCAACCCAGGUGAAAAAGGUCCUCUGGGAUUAGUUAAAUCCAGGGUUAAGUCUAAGGAUGGUAGAUGGUAUAUUAACCUCUUCCCUCCGGGAUGCUGUUAACUGUAGAAAUGGAAGUGUCGGCUAGGGCGUUAAGCAUCUUCUAAGAUGUUACCCUGAUGGAGUGCUGAGCACUAGCAAACCUUUGAACUGUUCUGCCUGGAUACUAGAAAAACAAACUCCUGUGUCAAUAUAUAUAAAAAAAAUACUGGUUCUGUGACUCUGGCUGCUUGCCCCAGACAGUAUUUAGGUGCCUUUAAGUAUCAAUUUGCAUAUGUAAUGGCAUGAUUUUACACACAAUUUCAACUAUGCACGCAUAUUUGGGCACAACCUACAACACAUAUCCAGCCUCUUUUCUUAGCACUGUGAUACAUAUAUGUUCCAUGGAUUAUUUUGGGAAGCUGGAGCCUCGAGGAAGCCCUGGCACCGGCUUUCCACAGCUGCAGAUGCUAUCCAGAGCCACAGUGAGCCUCUGAGCACGCAGGGCAGUGCUUCCCUUGCCUGCCUUGGUGUCUCCUCACUAGGAAGUUGCUCUGCCUCUUCCCAAAAACUGCUCUGAUUUACAGCACAGCCCCACAGGCAGUUGCAUGCAAGUGACUGACCUGGCCCAUUGUGGGUGUGGGAAAUGACUGAGAAGGUUUAGGGGAGUUUUCUGUUUAGGUGAUAAUUUGUUGUGUGAGCUCCACCUAAGCUGCUCAGUGGAUGUACUUCAUUGUCUCUUCUAUUGAGAUAACACUGUAAGAACGCUGUGCUCAUUAACUGGACUUUGAGGAAAGUUUAAAUUCAGAAACAAUAUAAAAAUAUACUACUGAAGAGCUCUAUCAUACUUGACAAGGGAGGAGACAGAAUGCCUUUCAGUAUGCCUACCAUAAGAUGAGGUUAGAUAAAACUAUUUCAAGUCUUGUAACACAAAUCUAGAGAGUUUGAACAGCUUGCUAAAAAAUGUUAAGCUAUUUUUUCUCUUAUUCUAACAAGAAGUUAACUGCGAGGAAAAGCAGUUAUCUAACAAUUUAUUUUUCUAUGACAUUUACCAUUAAAUUGAAAGAAAGUGCAUGCCAACAUUUGUUAAUAAUUUUGGUAGGAUCCAGGUGGAUCUAAUUUGUGUGGGGGAUGUGUUUCCCAGAUGAGGAGGAGCAGUGCUGCUAAACGAAUCUCAUCUGAUGGGCAAUUGAGUUACAAAGGCGUCACAUUAGGCCUGCUCUCCAAUACAAUGUAAACAAGACACAGGGUUUAAUCAGAUCAGACAGAUAAUAAGGAGCUAAAUUACGGCAGGACUCAUCAGCCAACAAUGCACAGGGCUAGACCUUCUCAGAUGAUGCAAGCCUGUAAACUGUAGUUAGCCUGGUAAAGCUGAAGUUUAAAUUAAUGGUAAUAUUUUACCCUCUGGGCAGUGAGAAGAUGGUAGAGCUAAGAGUUGGAGGAAAUAAGUUUAGAAACCAUGGAAGUAAUACAGCUGCAUGCAGCAAGUUGUAAAGACUCUAAUAUCUCCUAAAGACUUACAGAUCAUUUCCCUGCAGUGCUAGAAUGGCACCAUAAUUGUAAGAUCUUGCAUGAAAAGCCCAGGAAAAAAAACCCUAUAUGACAAACUAACGUUUGAGGCUUAAAAUGGUAUGGUAAUGCUCUGCUACGUGACAGACAGUGCCCAAGCAGAAGAUUCGUAUAGCAAGCCGGUGAAAGGGCAUCCCUGCUAAGUGCCUUUGGGAAAGCCCUAAGCAGACUGGGACAACUCCAAAAUCUGUAGGUGGGAUUGGUUGACAAUAUCAGGAUUUACUCUUUCAUGGUCCAAGUGACUCAGCAAAACUGCCCACAGGAUACUACAUGUGUUAUUGUAAAUAUAUUUUCCCUUGGCCCUUCCUCACCCAGGCUACGUGACCGUAGUUCACCUAAAUUUCUAAAAUGGUGGGGUCAGGUGGUCCUGCUAACAGGAUUGCACUGGCCAUAUCGAACUACGAUUGAGAUUCAUCUGUGUAUUUAGGAGAGCAAUGUGUCCUCACCUUGCGCCACCGUUUUCUUGGUUAAUCUACUGCCAGGAGAAGAUACUGCCUUCCCUGCUAGUGGGCUGACCUCCUUAUCUUCUAUACGUGACAGCGCCGGUUGCUAACUGACCUCCUCGACACUGAUUCCCAAACGUGGAAAAACACCUAUUUGAAGCCAUGAUGCUUAAUUAGCUCAAUCAGUCAGUCAAUCCUGCUUGCCCCUGCUGUGCCAGAGCAAAUGCACAUUUUUUCUUCAAAGAUGGAUCAAGGCUAAAUGUGUUUUGCGCAGAUAAAAACGCAAGGUUUCCACAGCCGUAUCUGGCAGGAUGGUGUCCCCUUGUGCUGGGGUGCACCACUCUUUUUGACAGAAAACACUCUCGGCUUCCUGCAUUUUGAUCUAGAAUAUUGUUUGCCUUAAAUAUUGGAUCGGGAUUUGUUCAUUCAAUUCACAGGAGUUUCUGUAAUCUCAAGGGGAGUUUAAAACCCAGCCAAAUGCAUGGGAUUACAGUAUCCUGUUUUUAGAGCAGCCAGUACCAGCUUUUUCAGAAGAAGGUUUAAGAAGCUCCCUAGGGGACAGAUAUGAAAUAACCUUGAUUUCUGCCUAUAACCUAGCAUUUUGUGAGGGACUGGCCUCUGAAGCACAGUGGUUUCUAUUUCUUGUAAUUUUUUAAUCUUGUCUAAAAAAUGCCAAACAUUCUCAUUACUUGCUUACCAAUCUAAUAACGUUUUGGAUCCUUAAUCUCAACAAUAUGUAGUGACAAGCAGGUUGCAGCUAAGCUAAAGGUGUCACCCUCCUCCGCUCUUCCAAACCGGCCGUUUGCAAUUGGCUUGCUUUCCAUUUCCCUGAUUUUCUCCUUGCUCUUCUCUUAUACACAUGCAUGGGCUGCAAAUCCUAAGCACUUUCCAGCUUCUGGUGGCAGCUCCUUGUCCCUGGCAGUGAAUGAGAUGCCUGCGUGCACAGCGUCUCCAUCCUGCUCCCCCAGCAUCCAAGGAAAGGCCAUCCAGGCUCGCUGGCCGGGCCAGAAACACUUGGGCCAUGUUGGUACCGAACAGGUUGGAGCAUCCAUUUCCCCCAAGCCUAAGCACGACUCUAAAGCCCUUUCUCUGUACUAAGUUUAUAUAUAAUUCUCUGUGUAAUUAUGUACUUUAUGUACUUACCUGACUGUAUUUUCUUAUAUUUGCCUCCAUUUUAACCAACUAUUCGUAACGUUUCAUUCUCAUAUAAAUAUCUUCCUCGGCUCUUUAAGAUCAAACAAAAUGUGCCAAUGCUCUUUAUUAAGUCUUCUUAAGUACAGUGGAUAUCUUACAGUGACAAAACAGCUCCGCUUUUUUCACGGGAUGAGAGGCAUAGAUCCUAAAAGGCAUGAAAGCACAUAAUUCCUUUAAAAAAUGAGUAGGAUUUAUGCACAAAUAUAGCUCCUAAAGUACCUGACCGCUUUUAUAUCCCAGGCCAAAGAGUCUCCUUUUCAGACAGAGUGUCCAGAAAAUGGGCUCUUCCAUUGUGGGUUUCCAAAGCAAAACAUGAGAAUCUCAGUGCUUUGGCAAGGUUUCCCUGUUCCUACCAGGCCUUGCGGGGAUUAGGGAAGAGAGAAGCCCUCCCUGGAGCAAGUAGCCAGAAAGGGACAAGACCGAAUAACUAACAGGGAAAAAUCUCCGCUUGCACUAGCAAGCCAAAUCACAGGGACAGUGGGGGUUAUGUGGGGCUGCAGGAGAACCACAAGUGGCUGAAUUUGGAAUUACGUGAGGAAAUAAAAUAUUGAAAAAUAUCUGUUUCAUAGGACACACAAAAAACUUCUGGACCCCAGGCUAACAUAUUUCAAACUACUCAGCUGCUGACAACAUGUCAUAACCAGGCAUGAAUACAACUAUAAAUAACAGGAGGAAACCUAACUGCAUCAUGCCAAGACAAUUAUCUGUGCCGGAGCUGGCUGCAGUCAGCGGGAGGAUGGCAGGGCGGUGCGGGAGCCCUGCACAGCCCUUCCCCACGGCGUUGCGAGGACGCGCGCUUCUCCCCACCUGGCCCCUUCCCUUGGUUUUAUUCGGUGGUAUUAAUAAUGGUGGAGAUCUCUGGAGCCAGAUUAGCGCUGGGGUUAGCCCAGACUGGGAAGGCCCCGGAGGGAGGAGGGGAACAGCCUGGGGCAAAUGUGAGGCACACUGCCCGGGGGUGAUUUCCCACGGCAGCCCUGGCAGGCUGACCGGCGGCGGGUGGACGUGUCCGCGUUGCUCUGCAUGCAAGAGGACAGCAGAAGAAGUAGGAAAGGUUGUGCUUGCCUCUGCUCAGAACUAGGUUUCCUUUCCCGGUUUGUAUCACUUUUGCUAGGCGUUAAAUCAAACCCGUUAUGUGUGGGGAUAAUUCAGUCCACCUUGAGCCAGUUCUAGUGCACUCUGGAAAUGAGACAUGAGAAAUGCUGGAGAAAAUCAGGAACAGGACAACAAAUAAAUAAUCUAGCACAUUCUCCAGAGAGAAAUACUUUCUAACUUCGUCAUUAGAAAGUAAUUAUCCUUGCUAAAACUGGCUAAGAGGUUAACAUAUCUGGAACGCAUAGCUGAUCCUGUCUUUGAGAGUGUGGUGGGCUAGAAUACUUUUCUGGUAUGUUUUUAAGAAUAAUGAAAACUAGAAAUUAUUUAAGAAGCCUCUCCUUUGAACUGAGGAUGUUUGAUAAUGUGCUCUCUUUUCUAGAACUCCUGAGUUUUUGGACACUAAAAUUUUUUUAGGCCAAUGUCAAAUUGUCACAGCUCGUAGAAGCAUUAUGAAAGAAAAAGACCAAUGAUCAGAGGAUGAAUGGGAAAUCUACUUUCUAAAAUGCUUACAUCUAAACAGAUACUUAAAAUAUAUGAAUACAAGUACAGCCAAAAAGUGAAGAAGAAAGGAAAAUUUUACACACAAAAUACUGCUCAGAUUGACAGUAGGACAACAGAUGCACUCAAGAAUGAGCAAAACCAUUUGGAGCAAGUGCUUCUUCCUUUGAAAGAAUACCUAUAGCCCUGUGUAAUGGAAAAAGACACUUUGAGGUCUUGGGGAAAUUGUUUAAAUUAAUGUGAAAUGGCAAAGACAUCCCAAGGACCUGUGAAAGCCAGAAAAAGAUAAAAACUAGAACCUCUCAAGACGCUGAUAAAGUAAUAAAAAUCUGCACCGGUAAAACCAAAAUUGCUACAGGCAGCGCUGACCCUAAAGUCAAUUUCAACACUUAUUCUUAGGGCUUUAGUUCAAGAGUUUCUUAAAGCUUGAGUGGGUUGAAUGGCAAAAAAAGUCUUUUCUGCCCUCCUCCGCUGUGCGGCUGAACCUCAGCUGGGCUAAUUCUUUGCAGCUGCCCGGGCAGAAAGCCAAACCUCUCAGGUGGCAGCUUAUGGGCAAAACAGGAGAAGGACUUCUGGCGUCCUCAGGGACAGCUUACCCCCAUGCAGAGAAAAGCCUAGAAAAUGGCUCUCCCACAUGGGUGGCAAGAAGAGGGUUGUAAGUGCCAAGAUGAGCCGCAUCCAGUUUGCGGCAGGGAGGCAGAACAAGGCGGUGGGGCUCGAAGAGCUGGACCGUGGGAAGGGAUGCGGCUCAAACUCUGCUCUUUUCCCUGAGGGCACAUGAUUUUGCAGAUCUUACAUAUGGACAGAAAGCAGGGACCUUUGGUUAUGGCACACACACAGUAGAAUUGGUGUGGGGGUUAAGAAGCUCUUCUGCCCCCAAAGUCCUGCCACCAUCCCUCCCGAAGUCCCCUUGCCCAUGCUGACUGACCCUCUCAUCCUCUGCGGCCUGAGCUCUCCACUCCCUCCCCUCUCUCUCAGUGCCCUUCUCACUUCCCUUUCCUCUCUUCCCUGCAAAUAUUUGAGGUGUAAUUUUGCUUUUUCUGUCUGGAAUAGUCAGAGCCCUUCUGAGUUUGUUUGCUGCACUGUCAUAUUUCCCUUCAAGCAGAAGCUCCCUGAUAGAGUUGGGCUUUGGCACAGCACCUUCCUUUCCCCCAGCAGAUCCUGGCUGGCUGUGGGAAAGGCCCUCCAAUGCUGCACAUCUUCCCGAGUGCCCGAGCUCAUGUGAAACCUGAUGUGGUCAAAAACUGCUCGUCUAUCUCGUUUGUGCCCACGCAUCAAGCGAUCCUCUUCGUUCACAAACACGGUGCUGUGUAUCUAACCGAAUUACUUAACUUUUUUCUGAACGUUGUCUGCAGCUGUGUUUUCCACAUGUGUAGAGGGCACCAUCAAUCAGGUAGGAUGAACUCAGAUUAUGUGAGAAUGCCUGGGGCACUCAGGUGAAAAAACAAGCUUAUAACAGCGUCAUCCGCAAAAGCUAGGGUUCUUCCCCAAGAGACCGCAUCUAAAAAUGUCCCAGACUGUCAUCGUUAUUUCUGCUGUGCACUGUCAUGAGUCACGUAAAAUCUCCAGGAAAUCUGAGCGGCUACAUGAAACGUAGGGGAUUUAGAAAAGUCAACACUGAACUGAGAAGCUUUAUCCAUCUCAGCCAUCACGGAGCGGCUGUUUGGCGGCAGAUAACUGGGAUUCUGCCCAGAUAAUCUGAACCAAUCUUCUUCUGACCGUAAGAGCAACGGGUGAGUCGGGCUGGCUCUGAAGGGCGAUGCCGGGCGGCGUGCCGGCGGGGCCAGGCCAGCCCUGGGAGAGGGCGAGCGCUCCGGGCCGGGUGGGAGGUGCGCAGCAGGAAGGAGCUGCUAUUUCCUGCUCGCUUAGCAAGAGUCGUUCAGCUUAACAUGUGAGGCCAGGAGGAGAGAGGCUGGAAAAGCAAAGGUCAAGGGAGAAAGUCUCGAGUGCCUUUAUGUGCCCGUUGUUUGCAGAGGAACAAGCGGGACAUUGCUGAGUGCCGGCACUAGCAAUCCUGGCUUGUCCGUGCCAUGAAGCAAGCGCCAGGUGAGGUAUGGGAAGGGGGCAGCGAUUCCCAAGGGACCUGCUGGGGGAACCGGAAAGUCUGAAAAAAGGAUUAUUUUGCAGUCCAGCUGAGAGGAAGAAUCAACCCCAAUUUAAUGUGUCUGUUGGUGGCUAUGGGAAAAGGUCGUUAUUUGCUACCAUGAGGAGAGUUACUUCUCUUUUUUUAGGGACAGUUGAGAGAGAAGCAAAUGAUAUCCCUUUGCAAGCGUGGAGUCUUUCAUAGCUCGCCCUUGUGCAAGUGACCUAGAGAGCUAUAUUUGUAUCAUUGGCACUGCCCACCAGCAGUCAAGGUCUAAGCGCCAUUGCUUAAAUGAAAAAUCUUGCAGUAAGCACAGGGGCAAGGGCAGGAACCCAGGCCUCCCACCCCCGCCGGGCGAGACGCUGCCCGUCUCCGUUCCCCGCCGGGCCGCUGACCGCGCUGGCAGCCCGCAGAAAGAGCCGGCGCCGGCUUGCAGCAGUGCGUUGCGCUCUGCGCUAACCCCUCACGAGAGCGGGGCGAUGUACGGCCAAGGUUGGCGGCUGCAGCGGAUGGCGGCGGAAAAGGGAGGAACAGAGCGAUUCCUUUGGCCUCGGCGACAUUUCAUGUCUCGAAAAUCUUAUCUGGAGUCUUGAGAGACUUUAGUGUGGCUUUCCUCAUGUACAUUUAAGAAAACCCUCAGUGAACAGGAGCCCGGCAUGCUGAAACACGUGCUCGGGAAGGGGGCAGGGCUGAGCAGGUGGCUAAUAAGCCGCACUCAGGACUUUGGAGUAUGUUACUUCCUAUUAACCAGUUCCAGCUGUGCUGUCCCAGUCCACGUACCUCUUCCUUAUCAGUGGAUUAGAUAUAAAGAAACCACUCUCACUGUUUUAACCAUGAAGGUGAGGCUGUCAUGUUUGAUUUUUACCCUGUGGUUUGUAGCUAGCCACCUCCUGGCGUGGUGCAGCCUAAGUUCUGCUUUGGUUUGGUGCCGGUGUAAAUUGCUGAACAUGCAGGAGGAUAAUAGGCAUAUGCUACGCACACUGGGGGAUAAUCCAGCCUCCCUCCCGACCAUUGCCCUCGGAUGAGUCCAAACCCCGCAUUCCUCUUUUAUGCUCCUUUCCUUCCGUUCUGGUUUAUCUUCUGGGGUGCACUAGUGUACUUCUGUCCGCUGCUGAGGAGCGACGUUAGCAGGCGGCCAUAUCCCUCCACGUGCACUGGGCGAGCAGCUGGCCUCCAUCAGCGAGGGCAGUCCUAGCCUGGGGAAUGGACAGUCUUGGAGUUGGGUUCCUAACUCCCUCAGAUUCAUCUGAAAAAAAAAGAUCCCCCAAAACUUGUAAUUUGUGGAAUUGCACAGACUGGUGACAGCAGGAGGCAUGUGGGAAAGGCUGAGAAAACAAGGUGCCCUCAGCAGGGAUGUUGCAAGCGUUGCUGGCUGGUGCACUCCCCCUCCUCGGGGCUUGCUUCUGGAUGCCGCUGCCUCCUGCUUUGCUUUCCCGGCUUUGCAGAUGGCUUGUGCCCAUUUGCUCCCUUUGCCUGGGACUCAUGAAGAUGAUCCAGACUCCCAAGAAAGCCCGUGAAGCCUGUCCAGCUGGUCUGGAGAAGCUCACAUUGCCGCAAGGCGGGGAAGGUGCCCAAAGCCACCGAGUGGUCUGGCCAGUCAUGGGGAAAAUCGUGCAGAGAGAAACACGCAGGCUUCGUCUGGUCUGGGGCGUCUGUAGCUGCUCUUAGGCGGUGAACUAUGCAUGGCAGGACCUGUCAUCUGCAGCGAGACACGGCGGGUGGUGUGGGAAUAGGGAUUAAAUAAUGGAAUAAAUAUAAACCCCAGUUCGGUCCAGAACGCAAAACCGGCUUGAAGUGAAAACAGCCUCAGGGAAGGAAGGAGCUGCUUAGGCUGCAGACAGACCUCAGCUUUGGGCUUUAGCAGCUGCCUUCGGGCCUCCGUCAGCAGCUCAUCCUUGCUCCCUCGCCGGUUUGCUGCCUCCUCAGAGCCGAUGACGCCGCUCCCCAUUUUUACUGCCUUUGCAAGCGCUCGGGGAGCAGCACGCGGCAGCGCCUGUCCGGCCGGCGGAUGGUGCCAGGCAGCUGCAGCCGGGCAGUGCCGCUCCGUUUCCUUUUGAAGCCACGUUGAAGAUGUGGCUCCCCUUGGGCCGCCCGGCGCUGCCCGUGCUCCGCCGGCUGCGGGACUGGCGAGCCGACCCGCCGGCUGUGCGCUGAGCGGCGGCAGGGCCUGGGCGUCUGGGUGUCCGCAGCCGUAAAACCAGUGAGGCCAAAUCCCGCGCGAUUCUGGGCUGUCUCCUGUGUGCUUUUCAGUGGCGUUGUUUUUCCUUCCUAAGUUUAAAACAGGACUUUGAUCCUUUCGCUGGUGAGACUAGUAAAAGCUAGGAGGAGACGCAUCUCAAACUUCCCCUUUGUAUCUAAUUGCACACCUGGGGGACGAAGUAAUUUAUCCUUAAAAGAAGCAGAUGGGGUGCAAAUGUGGCUCUGAAUGCUGCAGCAGGGCCAACAGAUGCCAUUUUAAGAGUUUAUGCCGCUGCCGAGCCGUCCCGGGAAGCCGCGCGGGGCGCGAGGGUGCAGCCUGGCUCGCCGCUGCUUGCGUUGCUCCUCCUCUCGGAUCCAGCAGGAAAACGGGGGACUAAUGCUUGCUCCCUGGCACUCACUUCCGUGUUUCUCCUGAAUCCAGAACUCCUCAGCCUGAAGUCAAACAGCUAUAAAAUCAAAACCAAGGGAACGCAGAGCUCGUGGAGGGAAAGACAGUUUUCGGUGCACCGCGUGUUUUUCACACUGAGAUGAAGUUUCUCUCUCCUGACUCUAUAGCAUUUAAGUAAUCUCAUUGGUAUCUACGCAUAAAUAAUUUUCUGUAACAAACAAUAUAAACCUUGAAUUUGCAACUUUUUCUUGUUCAGGAAGAAUCAGCUAAGACUGGGUUUAUUUUCAUAUAAAACUAAUUAAAUUUAGAAAUAAUUUUGCAGUUAAAUAAUGGUAAUUAUACUACAUUUGCAUAACAUGUUUUAGGACAGCUGAAAGCCAGAACAGCUUGCAAACUCGGAGGGCACCAGCGAAUGAACUCUGAUAGUUGUCCUCCUUUGGCUUAAGUUCCUUUUCCCCAGCUGUGACUCCUCUCUUUGCCCCUUCUACCUCCUCUGCGCAGGUUUGCAGACUCAGAGGAGUCCUCAGGAUGAAAUCCCUGCACCAGGUCCUGUAUACUAGCGUGUACUCACCGUACUCACAGCUUAUGGCAAUCACCAGUCCUCAUAUGUAAGCGUCACUCCCCCGUCUGCUAACGCUGACGGUGAGGUGGGGCAAGCAGCUAGGGGCAAGAGCUCCUUGAACAGCAGCAGGCAGGUUCGCUCUAGCCUGUCUGUCAAGGUUGUCCGGAUUUUACGUGUGAUAUAUUGUCCCCAUGCACGUACCAUUUUGCUCAGAAAUGUCUCGAUCAAGGGCAAAACUUUGCUUUGUUGAAGAAAACAAUCGCUGAUCUUGAUUUGAAGCUCGAGAUGGAGGCAGCUCCCCAGGGACUAAGAAUGGCUGACCCUCCUACUUACACACUUGUGCCGUAUUUGUCCUGCUGAGUAGCUUCAGCUUUGAAGUGUAUGGAAGGCUUUGUCGUCAGAUUAAAAAUCUCUGCAGUUAAAGGUAUCUCUCUUCCCUUCCCAGAUAGCGUUUCCAGCUGACUCACCUGCGUCUGACUCACCCCAGGCAGUGGAGCGCUGCUCUUCGGAUACAGCCCCGAGUCCCCCGUGAGGUAAAGGCAGCAAGUUUGGGAAGCUGCAGACAGACACAAGGAUGCAAGUGCCAUUGCCCUAGAUAGAGCUGCCCUGCCCACAGAUAAAUGAGUGGUCCUGCUGCGUCUAGGCAGCGUUAGGCACGUUCAGCACGUCCUGCAGAGGUGGUCAGGGUCGCCCACUGUGGUCUAUGUGGAUCAAACGUACUGAUCACACAGAGAUGAACAUUACGGCAUAGGUCCUUCAAGCCUGAUGCAGCUGGGGGCUUUGGGCUUGCGGUGCAAGCGCAGGUAAGGCGUCCGGAGUGUGCCCGGUGUCGUGGGAUCAGAGCGCACCAUGUCUGAUCUGCAUGCAGCCUCCCGGCGCGGUGUUGUGCAUGAUAGCUGCCAAGCGACUGCGGGCUUCCCUUUCAGUCCCCACAGUGGCACCCCCCAACAUUUUGGCCCCGGUGGUUGUGUGGCCGUGGAGUGGGUUGAAUGGGCUCUCCGUGCAGCUGCACAGGCGCUGGUGCUGACACGGGAGUGGUGGCAGGGGCGGGCAGGGGCGGGCAGGGCUGCUCUUUUUGCCAGCAGCGCACCCCGAGAUCGGCGUCAGCUGGCCGGGGCCCUGCACCCUCUGCGACUUGGCCGGGAUUUCAGCGGCUCAGACAGCCCAGGCCAGGCUGUGGCUCUGGCUUGUGCUUUGAUGAAGCUGCUGAAAACCGGAGACUGGUGGAUGAAUUCCUCUGCUUCUGCCUGGAUGAAGAGGACAUAGCCAGGAUGCUUGGGCAGUUCUGGAUGGAGAUGGCCUGCCCGCAGGGCGGACUAGUCCCUGCGUGCCGCUGAGACCACGCGGCCGGGCAUGCAUGGAGAGAGACACUGCACCUGGCUUGAGUAAUGUAUGUGCUUGUCUUCUGCCAGCUGAAAUGACUGACCGGCCCCAAGGAAAGGAUCGUAUUGAUCCUUGUACACUGUAGCAUACCGAAUAAAUAAAUCUUCCUGUUACCAUG